rnacentral:lncRNA from 1 species
GGCAUGGUAGUAGACGUUGUUUAACAGAUUCAGAUUGUAAUAAAAAUAAGUGUAGAAAACCUACUAUAAUUAAAUGUGUCGAUCGUCUUUGUACAUGUAUUGCGGUAUUUCAACCCCAAUCCUAGAGUACCCAAUUUCACUAAAACAAUUUUUCUAUCACUUAAUUAUUAUGUUUGUAUUAGCACCCUAUAAUUUUAUUUUUCCUUCUAUAUCUAAUAUCAAGACUAGUAUUUUUAUCACUGUAAUAUAACACGAUGGAUAUGAAAUAAAAUAAGGCGUCCUUUAAUAUUAGUUAGUUCAUUUUCUUCUAUUUAAUUUUAGAUAUAUUGCAAUAACCUUCGAUUAAGGCAUUUUAAUUUUUCAUACACUUAUAAAGUUGAAUAUAAAUUUGUUAAGGUUGCUUCUGAGCCUACAUUGUUAUAUAUAUAUAUAUUUAUAAUACUAUAUAAUAUAUAUAUAUAUUAUAUAUGUAUUUAUUCUAUUUCUUAUUAUAUUAUAUAUAUAUAUAUAUAUAUUGGAGUUAGUAUGGUUCAAACUAAUCCUUAUCUAAAAAAUAUUGUAGUUAAUAACAAUAAUAAUUAUCGCAGGUGUGUUCCAAAAGAACAAGAAAAUGUACAAGCAAGGAAAUGAGUAAUCAAUACAUGGAAAAUAGUUCCACCUAAAAAAAGUAUCACUUACUUUAAAAGCCCUUAUAAAGAGUUACAUUAAUUAAUUCAACAAAACAGUUAAAUAGAAUAAAGUGUCACAUGCAAAAAUGGCUCUAGGCCUGGGGAGGAAUAGGAAGAUAUAGAGAAAUCCAAGCCUGCAAGAAGAAAAAUGACGAUAUGAAGAACUAUUUUGGACCUAAUCGGGAAUAUUAAUCUUUAGAAAUACACAGGUCCAGGUCUGAGGGUCUGGGCAUAGAGACGCUAGUUGCGACUCGUAGGGAGUAGGCAACUAGGCAAUGUUUGUGAAGUAUUGGAGUAGGCGAAAAGCUGUAACAUUUAAUAAAAAGUAUUGUUGAAAGGAUGUGUUUCAUCAAGGGUCGCAACCUUGUGAAACAACACUACAUGGCAUAAAAUUGAUCAUUCUAGAUUAAAAAAAACAUUACAAAAGUACACCCUAUUCAAUAAAAAUUCCAGAUUUCACUUUCUCUAAAUUUGAGUUUUCAUCAGUCUUGUGCAAAUUUGAAGUAGGUUGAAUUAUCUUGAGUAUUCAUGCGUCUUGACUCUAAUACAUUUGACUUAGAAGCAUUAUCUAAUAGUCUAAUAGUAACUCAAAUAAUGGCUAUACCGAGACUUCAGAUUCAAGAAUCAAAGUGAUGAAUCAAAACCUUGUCAAGUUAGAUCGUUUCAAUGAAACAAACUUCACUCGUUGGCAAGACAAAAUGAUAUUUACCCUGAUUGCAGUGAAGAUUCACUAUGUCUUAGGUUUUGAUUUGACACCAAUUCCAAACCAAUAUAAAAUUACUUUGAUGAAAUCAAGAAAGAACGCAAGAAAUGAAAGGAGGAUGAAUUGUUAUGUUAUGGACAUGUUUUUCGAUCAUCUUGAUGACCUCUACACAUACACCUAAUCUGCAAUACAAAAUAUGAAAAAUACUCAAGUUCAAAUUUAAAGCUGAAGAGGAAUGUACUAAAAAGUUUUUCAUUUCUAAAUAUUUAAAUUUUAAAAUGUUGGAUUCAAAGCCCAUUCUUGCACAACUACACGAGUUACAAGUUAUUGUAAACAAACUAAAAGUUGUAGAGAUAGACAUCCCGAAGCUUUCCAAGUUGGUGCAAUAAUUGGAAAAUUUUCAUCUUCAUGGAAAAGCUACAGGAAGAAAUUGUUGCAUAGUUAUGAGGGCAUCUCACUAGAGAAAAUAUAGAAAUAUCUUCUAAUCGAGGAGGAAUGGAAAGAUAUAGAGAAAUCCAAGCCUGCUAGAUAUUCUAAAGCCAAUUGUGUGAGUGCAAAAGGAAAGAAGAAAAAUGACGACAUGAAGAACCAUCUUUGACCUAAUCGGGAAUAUUAAUCUUGACUCAUAAUAGUGUAUUUGUAUAGAAAUUUUAUUCCGUUAAGGGAAUGAUAAAACUUUGUAUUACCGACAAUAUUAUAAAUAAAAUUUCUAUUUCUGCUUAAAUGCUUGAAUUUGUUUCUUUAUGGCAUACUAGAUUAGCAAAUAUUGUUAUUAGUACUAUUAAGAGACUAAUUAAAUUUGGUUUGAUCUCAUGCGAUGUUGAUGAUUUCAAAAAAUCUGAAAUAUGUAUUAAAUAAAAGAUGAUUAAGAAGUCUUUCAAAAGUGUAGAAAGAAAGACCAACUUGCUUGAUCCUGUGCAUUCAAAUUUGUGUGAAUUUAAUGACAUGUUAAUCUGUUAGAGAAAUAGAUAUUUCAUUAUCUUUAUCAAUGAUUUCUCUAGAUUCACACAUGUAUAUCUUUUAAAGCAUAAAUAUGAUGCCUUUAAUGCUUUUAAAAUUUAUAAAGCGGAAGUAGAAAAUCAAUUAAGUAGAUAUAACAAAUUCCUUAGGAGUGAUAGGGGGAAUGAAUAAUUUUCUACCGAAUUUGAUGCGCAUUGUGAAAAAUAUGGAAUAAUACAUGAAUGUUCUACACAUCGUAUACCAUAAAAAAAUAGUCUAGCCCGGAAAAAGAAUAAGACAUAUGAAGAAAUGAUGAAUUCCAUGUUAAUUCAUUCUGAAUUGCUAUGUAAUUUGUGGGGUGAAUCCUUAUUAUCUACUUGUCAUAUAAUGAAUAAAACUCCUUUAAAGAAAAGAGGCAUUUCUUUGUAUGAUGUAUGGAAAGGCAGAGCAUUUGUAAGACCCUAAUUUUGACCAUAAGAUCCCUCAUGGCAUCAUGUUAUUACACAAGUGCAUUGCCUCAAGGAUCAUAGCAUGUUUGGCUCCUUAACCCUAGGGUUGGGACUUGUUUGAGUGAUUUGAGAUCACCAAGCAGGCUUGUAUUGUAUGUUAUUGCUUUUCAUAUUGUAUUACUAACCAAAGCACAAAAAUAUGUCACUAACUCUUUUGUUUUGAAGCUCAAGUUAUCAUAUGCUCCACAAUGCUCCUAGGAAGCUCCUAAGCCCAAUGCAAUGGCUAAAUGAAGAUGAGAAAAAGCAUGACAAUGGUUCACAAAGUUCCUAAUCAUCAUAUAUGUCUCCCAAGUAUCUCAAUUUUCCAAUUUUAUCAAGAUAACCCAAAGGGCUUGAAGAUUGUUUCCCAAGGAACCCUAAUUUCACUAUGCUUUGACUGCGCCUUGCGCUUGAAGCAAUCUCAACCUCUGAUCAAAUUUAAUCAAGGAAAGUUCUUUCAUUUCUCAUUUUAUGCAUAUAUGAGCUUAUUUGAGUCCCCUCAAUCAUUUAUUCAUCAAGAUUGGAAGUUUGACUUUGAAAAGUUGACCAGUCAAGUCAUCUGACUAAGCUGAGGUUCAAUGAGCUAUAAUUUUUGAUGUGUUUGUCAAAUGAAGAUGACCCCAAAAUAAAAAAUGUUCCUAGGAACCAUAUUAACAACUUUAAUGUUAAUCAAAAAUCCAUUUGAAGCUUGGAAGGUCAUAAUUCAUUUCCAAACAUUAUAGGUCAUUUUGGCUGAAACCCUAAUUUUGGGUCAACUUGCCAAGGGCAUAACUUUCUCAAUUUUUAUGAUUUUGAAGUGGGACCAACGGCAUUAGAAAUAUUGAGAUGUGUACUUAAAAUUUUAUGUUGGACAAAAUUUCAUAAUCCUAAAUUAAAUACAUGUGCCCUUGCAAAACAUUAUAGGUCAUCUUUGACCUAAUUCAUUGAAUUUGAAAAAGUAUCCAACUUCAAAUGCCCAUAACUUUAUCAUAGAAAAUCCAAAUGAUGCAAACUUUGAGUCUAAAUUCAUUGUAUUGAAAAGAUACACAACUUUGGUGUUGGAGGUUUUUCAUUUGAAGCUUGUAUCAUGAGGACAAAGGGGUUUGAUCAAGCUUACUUUUGGUUAACUUUUUCAAAGUGACUUGAACAUGUUUUAUACUUGAACUUUCCAAGCCAGUUUUGAUCAAUUUGCACAUGUCAAAUGGUUUUUUUGCCCAACAUGACUUUUAUUCCUUAUUUCAAGAACUUUCCAACCAUUACUCACAAUAGUCAUUUGGAUCUACCAUUUGAGAGAUUCGAAUUUUUCUUCAUUUAUGUGCAUUUUUCAUAUUUUAUGUUAAAACUUGAGAUGAAAGCCUUUUCCAUUCCAUGUGCACGACCACAUGCUUCCCAUAUGAUCUCAGCAAGCUCCUUCAGCCAUUCAUGGGCCUCUCACAUGUCCACAAAGGCCCAUGCAUUCAAAUUUGCAAUUCCCAUGCACGUGAGCAAAGUGUGAUGAUCAGAUGCAUUCACCUAUAAAUAAGGGCUUCCUCUCCUUCAUUUCAUAACCUUUUGGAGAUCCCAUAUGCUGCUGAACUGAAACCACACCCUCACCAAAAGAAUCACUCACCAUUUUUUCAGUAUUUUCGAGCUUGAAAUUCAGCAACAUUAGUUGAGUUUCAAAGCUAGAUUCCUUAGCCAAUCAUCUUCCCCAUAUUCAGAGAUCAAAAAGGAGAAAAAAAGGUUGAAGGAUUCGUGGCCAGAAACUCACCAUUUUGAAGGUAUAAGCUCAAACUGUUUGGAUCUGAAACUCAUAAUUCAAUGUAGUAUUCUUGUGUUUUUAUGGCUCUCUGAAGUCCUCAUACUUGAGGCAAGCUUUUGAUGCAUUCAAUUUUCUAUUUCAAGAUCAAUCUGUGUGGACACCAUGAUUUUCUCCUUAAUCUUUCUCUCAAUAUAGGAAGAAUGAGAGGAAUCUAAUGGUACAGUGAUGAUCUACAUCACAUGAGCUUCAUUUCCAUGCCCUUGUUUUUCAUUUUUGAUAAGAUUUGUUUUUCUGCAAUUCUUGCCGGAUUCUGUUUGGCUGACCGGAGAAGAUGGUGGUUUCCACCACCACCACCACGUGUGUUAACCACAACCAUUGGAUCUCUCCCUCACGAUCUAAUCUCGUGCAUCCAUUCUGAUUACUUCUUUUAAUGCACUGUGUUGCGCUGUUGACUAGAGUGCAUCAAACAUUCCUCAGAUCCAGACCGUGUACCAUUGCCACGUCAAUUAAUGAAAUGGAUCCGGUGGCUCACUUUUUUUUCGCUUAUUUCAUUUUCUUUUUAUUUUCUUUUAAUUCAUUCCAUUUUCAAUAAUUCAUAAAAAAAAUCAUAUGAGGUCAGAAAAAUAUGAGACCAACUCUAAAAAAAUUCUUGAAAAAUCUAGUUUCAUUUUAUGAUUUUUAAUUAUUUUUGUGACCUCAUUUGAUAUUUUUCAUGAAUUAUUUGGUUUUUAAUGAUUUUAAUUCAUUUUAAAAUGCUUUCUAACUUUUAAAAAUACCAAAAAUAUUUUCAUAGCAUCUAUGGAUCAUGAUAAGUCAAUGAAAAAUAGUAUCAACAAUUUCUUGUUUUUUUUGAGAUUAUUUGAGAUUUUAAUUCAUAUUAUGCUAUUUUUGGUUGUUUUUAAUUGAUUUUAAUUGCUUUCUGGCUUUAAAAACUUGUGAGAAAAUUAGUCAAAGUUUGUUUGACUAUGUUGAACCUAUGAAAAUUUAAUUGGACUUAUUGAAGUUGCUUUGAAUUGAAUUUGAGGUUCAACUUUCUUUGUCCUCUAACUACUUUACUCCUCGAUUUCCAACUAAACCGAGAAAAAAGGUAUUUUUGAAAAAUAAAUUAAAAUGUGACGUGUCUAUGGUUUACACCUCGAUUUUUUGUUGGGUGAGAUAAACGUUUCGUCAUAAAAUGUAUUAUUUGGAGUAGUGACAUUUGAAUACAAUUAGGAUACUUGAAUAAAGUAUUAACUUAAGUAAACUAAGGAUACUUAAUUAAAUUUUACAACUUAUUAACGGAUGUAGAUAUCCGCGGGCACGUGUACCACUCAACUUGCAUUCAUAUCUAUUUAAAAAAUAAGUAUUUAAACAUUCAUUCAUUUUAUCCGUAGAUAUAAAUUAAACUACAUUUUUCAUACUCUCCUCCUCCUCUCUCUCUCUCUCUCUCUCGUCUCUCUCUCUCUCUCUCUCUCUCUCUCUCUCUCUCUCUCUCUCUCUCUCUCUCGUCUCUCUCUCUCUCUCUCUCUCUCUCUCUCUCUCUCUCUCUCUCUCUCUCUCUCUCUCUCUCUCUCUCUCUCUCUCUCUCUCUCUCUCUCUCUCUCUCUCUCUCUCUCUCUCUCUCUCUCUCUCUCUUCUCUCUCUCUCUCUCUCCUCUCUCUCUCUCUCUCUCUCUCUCUCUCUCUCUCUCUCUCUCUCUCUCUCUCUCUCUCUCUCAAAAUUAAAAAAUUAAUUUAUUUCCUCAAGUAAUAAGUCUUCAUUGCAUUUUUUUAUUUCCAAAAGGGAACUUAGGAACCUUUCAACUUUGUAUAAUGUUUCUUUCUAAAAAAAAUUCUAUUAUGUUCACAACUAACAAUAGAGGUGACCCGUGUUCAAGUUUGGAAUGGUGGAGAAGUUGAAGAUUUAAAACGAAAAAUCUCUGAUGUUAUUUAGAAGAGAAUAUUUUUUUUAAGUUUAUUGAAUAAUCAAUGUAUCUGUUAUGUAUCAUGAAUCUAAUAUAUUUAUGAUUUAAUAAAUUUAAUAAAAUGUUAUUUAUAAGAAAAAUUUUAUUUUUUAAGUUUAUUGAAUAAUCAAUACAUCUGUAUUAUUUCAUAGACCAAUUUCUCUUAUAAGUAGGACCAAAGAGAAUAUUUAAAAUGUGUUAUGGCUUAAAACUCGGAUUUAUAUUCGAAAGGUGAAUUGUUUCCUCUUCCUCUAAGGUGAACAAGUAAGUGCCUUAGAAGAAUGCGUACAUGCAAGGAUUAUAGGUUUUGUUCAGUGGACACACACUAGAUCUUAUAUAUAGUCAUCCUAAUUAUAAAAUUUAUUCUAACACCUCCAAAAUUUGAUUGGGUACUACUCCCAAUUUUUGUUAAAAUCAAUGUUAACUUUGACAAAAUUUUAACUAAAAUAUUCAAAUGAAAAAUUUAAUAAAAAUCUGAUAUGAAUUGAAAAAUAUAAUAGUGUAUUUAAAAAAAAUUGUAUACACUUUUAUCGAUAUUUUAAAAUAAAAUGAAUUUCUCACUUUUGGAUUUUUGAUAAAUAUGAUAUGUUUUAUAGUUUUUUGGAUUUUUCAAGUUUGGUAGUUCAUCUUUGACAAGAAAAAAAAUUAAACAUGUCGGUUUCUUUGAAAAAUCCAAUAUAUUUUAAAAUUUUCUGGUAUAUUUGAAACACCAAUAAAAAAUAAUUUUUUCCAAACAAACUAUGACUUUAUAUCUGUGUUUUUGAAAAAAUCCAAUGUAAAACGUAUGAUUUUACACCGGGUGUUUUUAAAAAAUUUGAUAUAAAAUUAUAGUUUUAUGAAUAAAUAUGUUUCUCACCUAAUCUAUAAAAUAAGUGUAAAUAGUAUGUUUUUACAUCUAUUUUUCAAAAAAAUUGAUAAAAUUUCUUAGACCCAAAAAACCCUAUAAAAACUUAUAAACCCUUCAAAAAAUUCUGGUAAAAUCUCAAAACAAAAUUAAAAAAUUUGAUAACACAAAAUUUAAAAGAAAAUAUAAAAUUUAAGAAGGGCAUUAAGAUAAAAACACUACUCAUGUGAAUUGCAAGGUAAAAUUUUAGAGAUGACCGGAUAAAUCCCAUAACUACCAUUAACCAUAUUGCCCCUUGGAAAUACAAGCACAAUCCGAUUUUAUUAAAUUAAAUUACUUUAAUUAAAUCGUUCUAUCAUGUGAUUCCAUAGAUUACCAUGACGUUUGCAUUAAUAAUAAAUAAUUUUUUAAUUUCUGAGUCGUAAGUGAUUUCUAAUAACACAUUACUUUUACUUAAACGAUAAGAAAUAUGAAGAAAAAAAAUCACUAUUUUGUUCUUAUACAAUGAUACAAUCAUUUAAUAAGUAGUAUAUGUGUUGUCCAAAAAUAUAAUUUAUAUUUUGUUGUUUUUUCCUUUUAUGAAAAGUUAUAAAACAAUGAAAUUUUAUUGAUUUUUUUUUUAAUAUGAUCUCUUUAUUAAGUUUAUUUAAGAGGCAAAAACAAUACAUUGAUAUACAUAAGGGACAUUUAGUAAUAAUUAUAAUUUUGUAAAGUUAUUUUUACAAUUAUUUAAGAGCAAAAAAAUCGUUUUAUUGGCAUAAGCAGAGAAUGAACUUUGUAUUUAUAGAGUGAUAAAACCAUUUAUUAUAUAGAAAAGGGAUAAAUAUGACUAAAUUUGUAAAGUUUGUUUAUGUCAUGAUUUUUAUUCUUUCUCUAUUUCUUGCUGCAACAAACGUUGAAUGUAAGUAAUUUUUAUCCUUUUUUUCGAAUUUUCUUAUUUACUUUUUGAACAAUUUUUUAAUCAAUCUAAUUUACAUUACUUUAUAUUAUUUUUCUCCUUUCAGCGUGGCGUGGUGAAAGACGUUGUUUAAAAGAUUCAGAUUGUAUAGAUAAGUGUAGAAAACCAACUAUAAUUAAGUGUGUAGAUCGUUAUUGUAAAUGUAUACCGAUAUUUCAACCCCUAUCCAAGAGUACCCAAUUUCACUAAAAUAAUUUUUCUAUCAUUUAGUUAUUAUGUUUGUAUUAGCACCUUAUAAUUUUAUUUUUCCUUCUAUAUCUAAUAUCAAGACUAGUAUUUUUAUCACUGUAAUAUAACACGAUGGAUAUGAAAUAAAAUAAGGCGUCCUUUAAUAUUGAGUUGAGAUCAUUUUCUUCUUUUAUUGUUAGAUAUAUUGCAAUAACCUUCGAUUAAGGCAUUUUAAUUUUUCAUACACUUAUAAAGUUGAAUAUAAACUUUUUACAAGUUCUCGUAAACAAACUAAAAGUUGUAGAGAUAGUCAUCCCGAAGCUUUUUAAAUUGGUGCAAUAAUUGGAAAAUUUUCAUCUUCAUGAAAAAGCUACGGGAAAAAAUUAUUGCAGAGUUAUCAGGACUUCUCACUAGAGAAAAUAUAGAAAUAUCUUCUAAUCGAGGAGGAAUGGAAAGAUAUAGAGAAAUCCAAGCCUGCUAGAAAUUCUAAAGCCAAUUGAGUGAGUGCAAAAGGCAAGAAUAAAAAUUACGGCAUGAAGAACCAUCUUCGACCUAAUCGGGAAUAUUAAUCUUGACCCGUAAUGGUGUACUUAUAUGGAAAUUUUAUUCCGUUAAGGGAAUGAUAAAACUUUGUAUUACCGACAAUAUUAUAAAUAAAAUUUCUAUUUCUUCUU